AAUAAGCAAAAAAGCAAGCCUGGAGACUAAAAUCAGCUCUCUGUUUCUUAGUCUCUCCAUUCCCAGAUAAAUGCAAAAGAAUCAAAGGCUGUAGGCUUCACACUUUCCCUGACUGUUGACCCAUUUUAAACUGUGCUUCAAAUGGAAGUUUGAUUUAUAACCCAUACGGAAGGCAAUAAACCCAUCCGUGAGGAGUGAUAACCCCUGGAGAAGGCGGAGUGGUGAACAGAGUGGGACAAGAAACCAGGCCUUCUGGCCUUUGGUUCAGGAAGAGAUUCAGACAUGCUUAUUAUAAGCGUGAAAAUAGUCCAAUAAUUUCAACUGCUGAAGUUAGGCUUUGCUAACUACUUGGAUUAGGCUGUCUCAGUGAGCGGGCAUCUGUAACAAGAGGAUAACACCUCGGCCUCACAUACGCCCAAGUCUGAUUUCCUAAAGUAUGCUCUAUUCCUUGGAUUUAUUGCUGGUGUUUGGUUUGGUUUGGUUUGGUUUGUUGGUGUUUGUUGUUUUUUUUUUCCUUGUUAUACAGCAACUGUAAAAAUACAGCGCUAUGAACAGGUGAAAAUCUAAUCUUGACUCACUCGUAUGUUUAAACAGUUCUUUCCUGAAAUCUUAUCAAGAAAAUGCUGCCCACUUUGUUAAUAAAAGCAUACACCCAGGGUAAGUAAGGAGUGCCAAGGAAAAGCUGGCCAUGAGCUCCCAGCCUCUCCCCACACCUUGUUUCACAGUGGAGCUGAGCUUUCCUGAGGGUGUUCUGUCUCCAGGACAUUUACCCCCAAGCCAACGUGCCCCAUUUGUCCAGCUUUUUGUGUGUGCUCAGGAAGCAAAGUGCGUUUGCUUGAUUUGGAAUUGUUAGCUUCUUUACUCCUUUUUAAUGAUUUUAUUUGAAUAACAGAUAAAAGUUCAUUAAUCAAGGGUUGGAACUUGGAAGAACCUCCCGUAAAAUGAAAAACUCUAGACUGCAUUGCGAGUUAAAAAGGUCAUCAAAGUCUCCUGUGUAAUUAUGCAAGACCAACAGUAAUGCCUCUGGGCUGGCUCCCAGUUGCUCCAUUACAGCCUCUCUCUUUGCUCUCCUGCCAUGCUGUGACGGGCUUGACAUUCAUCAGCCAAACCUUGCAGCUGAAGAUGAAAUCCCGAAGUGUUGGCAUUUAAAUGGUUUGAAGCCCACGUAUCUUGUCUCUGAAGCACCCUUGCAUUCCUUAGCUGUGCAAACAUGGAAAAAUGCCACAGGAAGAAGCUCAAUAGUGCUGUGUUUAAAAGCCUUCGCGGCAUGACUCAUUUGGAAAGGUUUCCUUAUAAGAAGAGUUUGGAACAGUUAAAAGGAAAAUCCUUCCCUCUGCACCCCUUGUCGGACAUAGCUAGGAAGAGUAAAGUAUAUUUAUAAGGCUCAGGACAAUUAGGGCCUUGGCUGGUGCAGUUUUGUGGUUUUAAAAGUCAUGCAUUCAAAAAUUUGUGAAGGUUUCCAAGAUCAGAUAUUUUUUGUACAGCCGUAUCAUCAUAUGACUGCAGACAGCUACAGACACGACCUAUUUAUGCCCCAUUAAGGUUUCUGCAAAGGGCUCGGCCAGGACACCGCGUGCUUUCACGGUUAAUGCAGUAAACCUCUGGGCCGCUUAUUUGGGAUGACUUCAGCUUGAAUCUGCCAAACCAAAGAUGCAAAUUCAUACAUCAUGCAUCCAAAACUAUCCCCAAACUGGCAGAGACCGAGAUCAAAACCCAGGAAAUACUUGUUAAGAGCCAGUCUUCUCUGCUAGCAGGUAAACAAGCUUUUUUUUUUUUUUUCCUCUGAUCUCUCAGCUCGCAGACAUCAGCUCAGAGGCCUGUCUGCUGCUGUUAUCCGGUGCCAUAGGAUUCUGCCCCACAGAUGCUGUUUGGCAGCAAAAGCAGCUGCACUCUAGCUGGAAAGGGUAUGCACGCUCAUGUGUUUUCAUUUACGUUGAUUUAUCUGUCUUGCAAGUGCCCCCUGCAUCUCUCAGUUCUUCCACAGCAAUUAGCAUUUACAGUCACUUGAAAUACAGCUGGUUACAGAAAUAACAACCAGGAGCAAAGAGUCUGUGUGAUUCCUACGGCCUUCGGGUAAACUCCCUGCUGCCAGCAGCACACCCGGUGCCCACCAUUUGGUGAGCAUUUGGAGGGAGCAACGGAGGGGGUGCUGUGCUGUGUGCGGGCAGUUAGUGAGCCUGCAGAGCGCCCCGCUGCCUGCCUCCUUGCUUCCACGCCGAGUGUGGAUGAGCUCAAGUCUUUCCACUGGCAGCUGCGAUAGCUCAGCCUGCAAAGCCUGGAGAUACGCUUAGAUCUACACACCUGCCGCAGUCUGGACUCGCAUCCCCUGAAACCACACAUCUCUGUCCUAGCCGCCAGAACACCCCCGUGCUGCACACCCCCCUGCGAGGAACGCUUCAGCCGAAAGGACAGCAGGACUGGAGGGGCACCCAUUCUCCUGGCAUAAGGACUUCUGCAGCCCUCCGCUAGCUCACCGCAGUACCAGCAAGUGUUGUGCCUCGUCUGAGGGGCAGUUUGCUGGCAGAAGGAGCAGACUUGUUGGCAGUGGCACCCUUGUCAAAGACCCUGUCCCCUUGGCACCAAGUUUGGAUCUACUGCACCAGCUCUGGCUCCUGCUGAGCGGCCUUGGGGGCUGUUCCAGCAGUGGGAUGAAGUAGCCCAGGACCACCACAAACCUCGUGCCUUCCACUACAGUCGGCCGGUACAUUUCUCCAGCAUAAACAUGCACCGGUUUAGGGGUAUAUGCAUUUAAGAUAUUCCCCCUGAACACUUAAUUGAUGGAUUUGUCUUCCUGAGGGAGGAUAAGGAGAGAACCAUGACAGAUUUUAAUCACUGCUAAAAGCACUACUGAGCGGCACACUCAUACUGGAGCUGGGUGUCUUAUGAGAGCCACGAGAGAAUAAAAAUUAUGGACCUGUUUUCACUGGCA